AAUACGACAAGCAGUUUUACAUUUUUUACAUUUUCUUUACAAAGGUACGCGUGAAAAUGAUUGAAGAUGUUCUUUAUACAUUAUACUUGAGCACAAUACCAGUAAUAACACAUGUGCUUAGUCGUUUCUGAGUCACAAGAGUACAUCGUCCAAAAUGUCAUCGAGAACACUGACUUGGUACAACAUUGACGAGUGCACAUACGUAUUCGGUUCGUGGCCAAACGACGAUCAAAGACCGACGACGACAGCAAUGGCGACUAAAACGAAUUCAAUGGCAAAGAAGACUUCGAUGAAAACUAAGACGACGUCGAUUGCAAAGACAAAACGGAAAGCAAAGACGACUCCGUUGGUGAAAACGAAACCGACGACGGAGACGACAUUGACGAGCGAAUCUAGCAACGACGACGAACGGAUGCUUCGGAUGCUACACGAUGCCAUCUUCUGAGUCACAAAAGACGCACUCAGAAAACUCAAACCAGUUGACCCCGAAUACAUAUCUCUCGAAAUUCCAGUUCAGUCGGUCGACCUCCGAACCACCUCCGUAAAAUUUGAACGUGAAAUCGGCCGUUUCACGUCAACAUUCUUAAAAUGUAUUUUGUAAUACCACGCCGAAAAAAAAAUAAAUCGAUUUGAUCCAUACACUACAAACAAAGCAAAUUUAAAUAAAUUAUAUUUUAAAUCUAAUGUCAAGUUUUAUUUUUAAUUUUUUGUUUGUGUAAUUGUGU